UCUAAUACCGGAUAACACCGGCUUCCGCAUGGGAGCUGGUUAAAAGCUCCGGCGGUGAAGGAUGAGCCCGCGGCCUAUCAGCUUGUUGGUGGGGUAAUGGCCUACCAAGGCGACGACGGG
rnacentral:rRNA from 1 species